rnacentral:rRNA from 1 species
CCUACGGGGUGCAGCAGUGGGGGAUAUUGCGCAAUGGGGGAAACCCUGAUGCAGCGACGCCGCGUGUGGGAAGACGGUCCUCUGGAUUGUAAACCACUGUCCCCAGGGACGAAAGUUACGGGACCUGGGGAGGCAACUCCGGCUAACGACGUGCCAGCAGACGCGGUAAUACGUAGGGAGCGGGCGUUGUCCGGAAUUACUGGGGGGAAAGGGAGCGUAGGCGGGACUGCAAGUUGGGUGUCAAAUCACCCGGCUCAACCGGUAGCCGCACUUAAAACUGUAGUUCUUGAGUGAAGUAGAGGCAGGCGGAAUUCCUAGUGUAGCGGUGAAAUGCGUAGAUAUUAGGAGGAACACCAGUGGCGAAGGCGACCUGCUGGGCUUUUACUGACGCUGAGGCUCGAAAGUGUGGGGAGCAAACAGGAUUAGAUACCCGUGUAGUC